rnacentral:rRNA from 1 species
UUUUUUAAUUGAGGACUGGAAUGAAAGGUAGAAACUGAAGGGAAAGUUUUUUUGAAUAAUUUUGAAUUUUAUUUAAAAGUAAAAAAGCUUUUAUUAAUCCUUGGGACGAGAAGACCCUAGAAGUUUUAAAUAUAAAGAUUUUUAAUUGGGGUAAUUAUUGAAGAUAAAAAUUUUUAAUAAAAUUAAGUAAGGUAAGGAAAUUACUCUAGGGAUAACAGCGUUAUUUAAUUUAUGAGUUCUUAUUAAAAAUUAAGUUUGCGACCUCGAUGUUGAAUUAAAA